GCAGAGAGAGAAACUGGAAGUGGAACAUGACUUUGAACUCUCAAAACCCACUUCCAGUGAUGUGCUGGAAGGAAGGCCACACCUCCUGAUCCUCCCAAAACAGCACCACCAACUGGAGGGCUGGGAAUCAAGGCCUGGGCCUGCGGCAUUCUAGGCAAGCAAGCCUUCCACAGAAUUACAUCCCUAACCUGCAAAGGAGUUUGAAAAGCCUGGGGCAUAGUCCAGGACCAAGCCACGCGAUUCUAAGUGCUGGUGUCUUAUACUAAAGGUAUAAAACUCCAGACAUGGAAAGGAUGUAGAAAUUGCUUACUUUACUGCUUUCAUGUUACUGGACGAGACCGACGAGGGCAGAGCAGGGACCAUCGUGCUCAGAGUUGAAGAGCAGUUGUCCCCAGUCCAUGCGGUCUUCAGUUCUGCGCCUGUCCCCAUCAUCUUGUCUCCUAGAUGCAAAGAAGACCGUGUGUCACCCACCGUUCUAGACUGUGGUCCAACAUCUACAAGGAAGUAUUAAAAACAAACAGGUAAACAUACUUCAGGUUAACCCUGAGCGGCAGUCACACGGCCUCCACCUUGGCUUCUGGACAGAACCACUGAAUGAGCUUUUCCAAAAACAUAAAUUUAAGAGUACAUUCUGAAAGUUCCAAAUGAUGCU